CCUGCCUGCCUGCAGCACGUGUUCUACUGUGAUCACCAAAGCAAUGGGACUGGUACAGCUUCUCGCUCUAUGAGAGCACACUCCUUUCUCCCUUAUUUGAAGGCACAAGAGUUACUGAGCAAGGACCACAGGAGCCAGGACCCCCAUCGCAUUAGAUAAGGUAGGAUCAGCCUAACUUACCCAGCUGUCUGGUCAUACAGACCUUCCCCAACUCUCCACAUCGCUGGACUCUAUAUCUGACGCCAAGCCUGCAAAAGGGAAGGUGACCGCCAAGAGUCUGUAAUGAGCCCAGCGUCUGAGCCCAAGACAGCCAAGAGUGGGGCCUUCCUGCAGGGCCGGGUCUGGGCCGUUUUGAAGGCUUCCUUCACAGAUCCCAAACACUACACAGCUGGAGAUCAAAGCCGGGAUCUAGUUAUUUAUACUCAAAUGGGGAAAACCAACUGGGCAGUGGUUAAUUACACACUUGAUUUAUUUAAAGGAGAAAAGGAAAGGAAACACUUCAGGAUCCAACUGGCAAAAGCUAUACCCAAAGCAAACCUAAGUACUGAGAGUUACUGCUAUCUAACAUCUUAGCAUUCUUGGGCUUCUCCUGUCACUCAGCUGGUCAAGAAUCCGCCUGCAAUGUGGGAGACCUGGGUUCGAUCCUUGGGCUGGGAAGAUUCCCCUGGAGAAGGGAAUGGCUACCCACUCCAGUAUUCUAAUCUGGAGAAUUCCAUGGAAAGUACAGCCCACGGGGUCGCAAACAGUGGGACACUGAAUACUGUCACUUUCACUUUCAAUGUCUUAACAAAUUAUCAAACUCAGUCUAAACAUUUCUGUCCAAAGCAGACAGCGUGAUGAGAAGUACUACCGGUUUGGUGCCCAAGUGCAACACGAAGGGCUGGAACCCCCAUUGUCCAACAGGGCUCCGACUCCCCUCCAAGCUGCCCUAACUGUAAACACUUCUCUCACUCUUCCACGAGGCCCUGGCUGCUCUCCUGUCCCGUAGCCUCUCCUGCUUGCAGUGCCGCCGGGCCAGCAGGUACGGAGGAGUAAUCCCUGGACGUGACUGCUUCUGCAGUGUUAUUCUCAGAGUGCCCCUUGCAACACGGCCAGUGAGAAGCCAAAAAAGGAAAAAGCUGCCCACCACUGAUGAGAACAGCCCACCGAAUGGGACGGCCCCAGGCUACCAUCAGGUCUAUACACUCCUGCAGAGAAAGCAAAGGAAAGGAAAGCGGGCAGGUCAAGGAUCAGAGUAUUUACAGAACCAGACACAUGGAGAGAGGCUCUGCUCUCUUGGACCCCACGCAUGCUGAGGUGCCGACAGCGGCUCUGCCCGCCCGCACCCCGAUACUCAGCACAAGGCUGAAACCUCAGUUCCCAAGGCAGGCAGGCAGGCGGCCCUGCCUUCCGCGCGGAGCAGCUGUGGAUGACCAUCCCGCGGCCUGGAGUGAUGAAUCCCUUGUUUAUAAAGUUUUCAUUUGCUCCUGUAAGAUUAUUUUCAAUCCUACUUCCUAAGAUUUCUGACUCUGGAACUUGAACUAGAAGCUUCAAAACUGACAGAGACCCAGAGAAACGAUAAGGAAUCAGGCCACCUCGAUUCCCUGAAUCAGCCAACCUCUGGGCUAAGGGAAGGCUUCUAUAGUCUCAGGGCCUUCUCAGUCAAGGGCCAAAUUAAAUCAUUUAAAAAUCAUUUAAAAGGGGAUUUUUCUCUGGUGGUCCAGUGGUCAGGAUUCCAUGCCUUCAUUGCUGAGGGCCCAGGUUCCAUCCCUGGUUGGGGAACUAAGAUCCCACAAGCUGUGUGGCAGAGUCAAAAAAUUAAAAAGUAUUGAUCAAACCUGGUGAUUCUUGAUGAGCAAACAAAACUCUAUUGCCAACUCUAUUUGUACUGGAAUAACCCACUAAAAUCUGUUUAGAUCAGAAAUCUGUUUGGCAUGAAAAAAAAUAAGCAUUUGGAUUACACAGGAGUCAGAGGAGUAGGGAGAUGGAGGAGAAGGCUGGCAAAAUGGAGGUUUUCAAAGAGACCCUGGAGCCAUCGGCUUCUGAAUGAAGGAAAACACCAGGAGACUGAACUAAUCUGAAAGAAAAUACAAAGGGCGUUGACUCCGUAAGGAGAAACGCCAUCAUAACAAGAACCCUACAUCUUGAGUUCCAACAAGCCAAGCAACUGAACCGGAAGAGGCCGUGGGGCUGAACGAGGCACUGGGGAAGGACAGCUGGCCUUCUUCUGGCAAGAGGAUGUCCAGAGCCAGACGCCCUGGGUUUGCCAGUUGCUUCUCAAGGGAAUCCUCAAAGUAGAUGGUUGAACUUACGGGCAUGAAAAGUCUCUUCCAUUAGAUAAGAACAUGGCUUAUAAGAUUAGAACACAUGUAA